AGGUUGGGAUGAGAGAGAGAGAGAGAGAGAGAGAGAGAGAGAGAGAGAGAGAGAGAGAGAGAAGGGUUUAAUUGGUGUGGGUGCAGUGCAGAGAGCAGCCAACUCUCCGGCGCUCGUGCAGUGGAGCUUUCUGAUGGGUGUCAGCGCCACCCACGCGUCUUUUGCUCUUACUCCCACGCCCCCAACACUCUGGAUUAUGCGGUCAAACCAUGCUCUCUCUCUCUCUCUCUCUCUCUCUCUCUCUCUCUCUCUCCAUUGACCUAUUU
rnacentral:miRNA from 1 species